rnacentral:misc_RNA from 1 species
AAGUCGUAACAAGGUUUCCGUAGGUGAACCUGCGGAAGGAUCAUUAUCCAUUGCAGUAGUGCUUCGUCUUCGAGCCACUACACCGCGCUCAAAUGCUCAGUGCAAGCUUGCUCGCAUGAGAAAGCUUGCGCUUCAUUUACAAAAUCCAUGCAUGCGUUUGCAUGGUCGGGUACCUAUUUUAUGCGUGUGCGCAUGCGUACGCAUAAAAGAAGCGAUCAUUGGCCUUUUUUGUGAUCGUGUGGCGUAAAGAUUAUUCAACUACUUGAAUAACGCCCGCUUGGCUACACAACUCUUUUUAUACAAUAUUUAUUGCAUUGCUCUUAUGGUUUAUGUGUAAAAGUUGUCACGUUUUUCUAUCGGCACGAUAGAACUAGGACACCAAAACACACAUACAACCCUAUGCGGUGGAUCACUUGGCUC